UACAGAGGUCUCGAUCGUUGUUCGGAUUCAUUGGGCGUAAAGGGUGCGUAGGUGGCGCUGUAAGUCGGGUGUGAAAUCCUGAGGCUUAACCUCGGAACUGCAUUCGAUACUGCGGCGCUUGAGGACUGGAGAGGAGACUGGAAUUCAUGGUGUAGCAGUGAAAUGCGUAGAGAUCAUGAGGAAGACCAGUGGCGAAGGCGAGUCCCUGGACAAAACCUGACACUGAGGCACGAAAGCUAGGGGGGCAAACAGG
rnacentral:rRNA from 1 species